UACGAAGGGGGCUAGCGUUGUUCGGAAUUACUGGGCGUAAAGCGCGCGCAGGCGGUCUUCCAAGUCAGUGGUGAAAGCCCGGAGCUCAACUCCGGAACUGCCAUUGAAACUGUCAGACUUGAGGAUGAGAGAGGUGAGUGGAAUUCCCAGUGUAGAGGUGAAAUUCGUAGAUAUUGGGAAGAACACCGGUGGCGAAGGCGGCUCACUGGCUCAUUUCUGACGCUCAGGCGCGAAAGCGUGGGGAUCAAACAGG
rnacentral:rRNA from 1 species